AUAGUACUGCCUCCGUCCCAAAUUUCUUGUCUUAAAUUUGUCUAGAUACGGAUGUAUCUAAUACUAAAACGUGAUUAGAUACAUCCGUAUCUAGACAAAUCUAAGACAAGAAUUUUGAGACGGAGGGAGUAAUUA
rfam:Triticum aestivum genome assembly, contig: Triticum_aestivum_CS42_TGACv1_scaffold_096039_2AL